CCCUAUUAUAUUUAAUGUAAAUAAAAUCUUUUGAAUAGUAAAUGCUAUUGUCAGGAAACUUAAAGAAUUUGACGGUGUUUAUUCUUUUCAGAGGAAUAUGUUUAUUAAUUGAUAAUUCUCAAAAAUUUUACUUAAAUUAAUUUAUUUUGUAUAUCUCCGUCUAAAAAAAUUAUUUGGAAAUAUAUUUUGUAAUUUGAUUUUUUUAAAAAGUCAGGUCAAGGUGCAGAUUAUAUUUAAGGUUAAAUGUGUUACAGUUAAAAUAUUAUUGAAUUUAAACAUGAAAAAUUUAAUGAAAUUGGAUUUGUGAGUAAAUUGAAUAUAAAAUAUUUUAUUGAAUUAUGUAAAUAAAUAUGUACACAUCGCCC
rnacentral:rRNA from 1 species